rnacentral:lncRNA from 1 species
CUGAAUAAACAAUACGAUCAUUGUUGUUCUGCGGUGUGCAUGUUGUGUCGACAAUUUGUGUUUGCGUUUCUCUGUGAUGGGUGUUAUUGUGUGUGUUUGGGCUGCAUUUCUGUCACGUAGUGUUGUCAUUUCAUCGAUAUUUUUCUCAUUUUCACAUAAGCGGGAUGAGUGGCUUGCCAUACAAAAAGGUUGAACCCAUCAUUUUGUUCUUAAAAUAUCCUGUACCAAGUCCGGAAUAUGACAAUUCCUUUCUAUGUAUGUUGGCGUUUGUAUUUGUUGCACUUAAGAGUUCCGUUGUUCUGUUGUUUUCCUCUUGUAGUUGAUGUGUUUCUCUCUGUUUUAGUUUGUAACUCGAAUUUUCUUUCAAUCGAUUUAUGACUUUCGAACAGCUGUAUGCUUCUGUUGUCUUUGUUUAUUCAAUAUAAAAUUUAAAGUUAUCCAUAUGAUAUCCUUUCUUAAAAUUAUUUAUAUUUAAGUAUUUAAAAAUAUGAAAAUAAUCUCGGUCCAACCAUUCUCAUAUUUU